AUACGGAGGGUGCAAGCGUUAAUCGGAAUUACUGGGCGUAAAGCGCGCGUAGGCGGCUUGAUAAGUCGGAUGUGAAAUCCCCGGGCUUAACCUGGGAAUUGCAUUCGAUACUGUCAGGCUAGAGUGUGGUAGAGGGAAGUGGAAUUUCCGGUGUAGCGGUGAAAUGCGUAGAUAUCGGAAAGAACAUCAGUGGCGAAGGCGGCUUCCUGGAUCAACACUGACGCUGAGGUGCGAAAGUGUGGGGAGCAAACAGGAUUAGAAACCCUAGUAGUCC
rnacentral:rRNA from 1 species